GAUGAAAAAAUAUGACUUUAUAUACUGCUGUAUAAAAUGGAAAUGUAGUUACAUACGGCAAAAAGAAGGCGAGAAUGAAUCAUCCUGAAGGCUCACAAAAACACCUCCUGCAACCAAUCAUUUGGGGAAUUUGAAAAAACAGAGCUUGGAGAUGUAGACACAGACUGGUCUUCGUGGCCGGCGAGAGGCAGAGUCCUGCAAGCAGGACAUCCUUUCACAAACUGGAACGUGAGACUGGAAGUCACCGAGAGACCUUGAGGAAGAGAGAGAUGACAUGAAGGGUUUCGAAGGCUCUAUGGAGGCGGGCUUUCAGGGCUGGCUGGAAGACGUCUGCGCUUGCCCAGUUCAACGACGGAAGAUGAGAUGGUACAUCGCUGUCAAACUGCUUGGACGGUCUUAGGCUCAGGGCAGGAAAUGAACGUGAAGGGAGGCACCGUUGCGCUGGAGAGCGGAAGAGAUUUCCAGAGAGGGGAGCUGCGAAUUCGGAAGGAAAAUAAAAGUGUCUGAUGGAGAAAGAUUAAGUAGGGUUUGAGUCAGGAAAAAAACAAAUGAACAAACCAACAAAACAGAGCUCAGCAUCCUUAAUGGGAAGAACAUAGCCUUACUGAAUAAGAUCAGAAACCUGCAAAAGACCAGGAUGAGACGAAAGCACAGGAGCACUCGGUGACUAAAAAACAACAGGAUGCCAGGCAAAGCUAGUAAGCAGAGACAAGACAGAGCAGGCUGAGAUAAGGACCACUUCCAAGUAAAUUAAGUGUCCAAUAACAACAUCAAGAUCUUCUUGGGACGACUAAACGGAAUCACCAACAUUACAAAAACAAAACAAAACAAAACCCCCAAAUUAAUAGUAAGGAAAAUGCAGCAGACGCUGUUGUGAAAACAGCUACAGCAUGACACCAGGUUGUCUGCAAACAGAAGCCACCUUUCUUUCGGGUAGCCACACCUCUGAGAAGUAGCCUGACCCCGAGUUUGAGGAAAAAUCUCUGUUAAUGAUAAUCUCAUUCUGUUCACCGUGAUUGGCUUAGAGGAGGACACGUGACUUAGUUAAAUGUGAUGAGACCUGCAGGCAAGUCGGCUGGCGGCUCCGUAGAGGAGUUUGCUCGGGAAGAUGACCGCACCCGGAAGACAGCUCUUCUUCUAGAAGUGGUCUCGGACUGAACCCUCAAUAUCUGCAAGGUGCAGUGACCUACUUGAUGGAGGAGUUUGGAGGAAAGAAUUGAGCAUGGUUGACUCCAUUCACUCUCCUUCGUCUCUGGGGUCUACAGAAAUCGGUUGACUCCAGUCUGCCUUUAGUCAUGAGUGAAGCUUGUCAGGAAGUGUCUGUUGUCUCCCACCCUUCAGGGGAGUGCUGCCAUUUCUGAGAGCUAUCAUCUUGGUUCAGGCAAGGCUGCCAUUCUGGGGGUCUGAAUAGAAAGCCCAUUUUGGCCACACACCUAAAUCACAUUCCUAACCUAUUUGAUAUUUCGAUGUCUAUCAGCCAGCUACUCUGUCUCUCCCUGGUUCAAAAUUAUGCAAAGAAAAAAUGAGAGCUGUGUAUUGAUCCCAAUAUAAACAUGUGUCUGGUUUGUU